AACGGUCUAUACCUGCGGUACCUGCGGAAGGAUCAUUACCGAGUUAUCAACUCCCAAACCCCUGUGAACAUACCCGAACGUUGCCUCGGCGGGACCGCCCCGGCGCCCCUAGCGGCCCGGAACCAGGCGCCCGCCGGAGGACCCAAACUCUUGCUUUAAACAGUGGCAUACUCUCUGAGUCUCACAAGCAAAAAAUAAAUCAAAACUUUCAACAAUGGAUCUCUAGAUCGGAAGAGCACA
rnacentral:misc_RNA from 1 species